GACGAACGCUGGCGGCGUGCUUAACACAUGCAAGUCGAACGGAAAGGCCCUGCUUUUGUGGGGUGCUCGAGUGGCGAACGGGUGAGUAACACGUGAGUAACCUGCCCUUGACUUUGGGAUAACUUCAGGAAACUGGGGCUAAUACCGAAUAAGAGCUCCUGCACAAAAGAAAAGGAUAGAAAAUGUCGGCGGUUGGGGAUGGACUCGCGGCUUAUCAGCUUGUUGGUGGGGUAGUGGCUUACCAAGGCGUUGACGGGUAGCCGGCCUGAGAGGGUGACCGGCCACAUUGGGACUGAGAUACGGCCCAGACUCCUACUGGAGGCAUCAGUGUGUAAGUUGGCAGUAUGGUCGGAAGCUUGAUGCAGCAACGCCGCGUGCGGGAUGACGGCCUUCGGGUUGUAAACUGCUUUCGCCUGUGACGAAGCGUGAGUUUCUGUAAUGUGUAAAGAAGCACCGGCUAACUACUUG
rnacentral:rRNA from 1 species